rnacentral:rRNA from 1 species
CCUGACGCAGCGACGCCGCGUGAGCGAAGAAGGCCUUCGGGUCGUAAAGCCCUUUUCCAGGGGACGAGGAAGGACGGUACCCUGGGAAUAAGGUUCGGCUAACUACGUGCCAGCAGCCGCGGUAAUACGUAGGAACCGAGCGUUAUCCGGAUUCACUGGGCGUAAAGCGCGUGUAGGCGGUUCUAUAAGUCGGGCGUGAAAGCUCUUGGCUUAACUGAGAGAGGUCGUCCGAUACUCUAGGGCUUGAGGUCGGGAGAGGGACGUGGAAUUCCCGGUGUAGUGGUGGAAUGCGUAGAGAUCGGGAGGAACAUCAGUGGCGAAGGCGACGUCCUGGCCCGCACCUGGCGCUCAGACGCGAAAGCGUGGGUAGCGAACGGGAUUAGAUACCCCGGUAGUCCACGCUGUUAACGCAUUAAGUGCUC